CGGUCUUAAAGUAAGAAAAUCAUUUUUGAGUUAUAACAAAACCAUCUGGGGCCCUUUGGAGCUGGUGGAGAAGCCGUACCCCGAAGCAGAGGAAAUAGGAGCCAGUGUCCGGGAUCUACCUGGUCUGAAGACCCCUCUGGGUCGAGCAAGAGCAUGGCUUUGAUUAGCCCUCAUGCAAGGUUAACUUACGUUGCUUAAUUAUUCAGAGGGAUCUCUUGAGUGAGUUUUAUGAGUAUCAUGCACUAAUGAUGGAAGAAGGAGGAGCCGUAAUUGUUGGGCUGCUGGUUGGCCUGAAUGUGAUUGAUGCUAAUCUGUGUGAAGGGAGAGGAUUUAGACUCACAAGUUGGAGUGAUUGAUUUUUCUAUGUACUUAAAGAAUGAAGAAGAUACUGGAAAUAAAGAAAGGAAUGUUCAAAUUGCUGCCAUAUUAGACCAAAAGAAUUAUGUUGAAGAAUUAAAUAGACAACCGAAUGGAGACGGG